rnacentral:rRNA from 1 species
CCUACGGGCGGCAGCAGUGGGGAAUAUUGCACAAUGGGGGAAACCCUGAUGCAGCGACGCCGCGUGAGUGAAGAAGUACUUCGUUAUGUAAAGCUCUAUCAGCAGGGAAGAAAAUGACGGUACCUGAGUAAGAAGCCCCGGCUAACUCCGUGCCAGCAGCCGCGGUAAUACGUAGGGGGCAAGCGUUAUCCGGAUUUACUGGGUGGAAAGGGAGCGUAGACGGCAGUGCAAGUCUGGAGUGAAAGGCGGGGGCUCAACCCCCGGACUGCUCUGGAAACUGUACGGCUGGAGUGCAGGAGAGGUAAGUGGAAUUCCUAGUGUAGCGGUGAAAUGCGUAGAUAUUAGGAGGAACACCAGUGGCGAAGGCGGCUUACUGGACUGUAACUGACGUUGAGGCUCGAAAGCGUGGGGAGCAAACAGGAUUAGAUACCCGAGUAGUC